rnacentral:tRNA from 1 species
GGACUUGUAGCUCAAUGUAGAGCAACUAGCAGACUUUUACGAAGGCUGUUAUGUAUUUUGCGGGUUCGACUCCCGUCAAGUCCU